rnacentral:rRNA from 1 species
AUUGAACGCUGGCGGCAGGCCUAACACAUGCAAGUCGAGCGGCAGCGGGAAAGUAGCUUGCUACUUUUGCCGGCGAGCGGCGGACGGGUGAGUAAUGCCUGGGAAAUUGCCCAGUCGAGGGGGAUAACAGUUGGAAACGACUGCUAAUACCGCAUACGCCCUACGGGGGAAAGCAGGGGACCUUCGGGCCUUGCGCGAUUGGAUAUGCCCAGGUGGGAUUAGCUAGUUGGUGAGGUAAUGGCUCACCAAGGCGACGAUCCCUAGCUGGUCUGGGAGGAUGAUCGGCCACACUGGAACUGAGACACGGUCCAGACUCCUACGGGAGGCAGCAGUGGGGAAUAUUGCACAAUGGGGGAAACCCUGAUGCAGCCAUGCCGCGUGUGUGAAGAAGGCCUUCGGGUUGUAAAGCACUUUCAGCGAGGAGGAAAGGUUGAUGCCUAAUACGUAUCAACUGUGACGUUACUCGCAGAAGAAGCACCGGCUAACUCCGUGCCAGCAGCCGCCGCCGUAA